rnacentral:lncRNA from 1 species
UAGAUCCCCGAUGCAUAGAGUCUACGUCUUGGAAAAACAUUUUUUCUGUAAGCUUCUGGUGUGUUUUGUCCUUGUUUGGAUUUUUUUACUACUUGACGUGCUUUGUUUCAUUGAUUAUGAGGAAAAAAUCAUAUUCAAACUAAAAUAAUCAUGGAUGUCGCUAUAAGGUAUGUGAUUCAGUGAUUUCAAUUUGCUUGAAAAAAAAAACAGAAAUUGUUUGAGUUUUUUUCUGACUCUGUUUGGACUUUGGUUGAAUUAGAGUGGAUGUUAUGGAUGCAAAGUUUAAGGUCAUGCAUUUUAUUGUGGUGCUUGUGCUUAUCCUAAUUCAUGUUAUUUCAGAUUGUUUGAUACUUUUUGUUGGAAUGGAAGGUUUAAGUUUAUGAAGCAAUUUUUAUGGGUGAACUUCUAGGAUAUGAAGCAGGGAUGAAAGGCUUGAUGGGGGUUGUGAGUCUCAGGGUCAUCAGUUUUUAGACUAGACAUUCUUAAUUUAAAUUUGCAUAUUAGCUCUGUCAAAUGUUUCUCUGUUUUCCUUGAGGUUGAUUUGAAUGUUUAAUGCACAAGGCAACGGGACUUUCAUAUAUAAAAAUUCAAGAUUGCUUUGAUUUCUAUUGGAUGUAGCAAUAUUUUUUUAAAUGAUGUGAAUUCAAUGCUUUGAUUUCUAUUGGGUGUAGCAAUAUUUUUUCAAAUGAUGUGAAUUCAAUGCUUUGAUUUCUAUUGGAUGUAGCAAUAUUUUUUCAAAUGAUGUGAAAAGUAUAAGUAAUUCCAUGCUGACAGUGUCACCAGAUUCUAAUAGUAAUCUAAGGAAGCUCUGAUAUAGGAAAUCCAGGUAAUUUGUAUUAUUUGUGAUGAAACAGCAGCCUCAAUGAUGUCUAUUGUGAGAAAUUUAAAAUGUAAUUGAAAGUCUAGAGAUUCAUUUAGUCUAUGAUUAUUGUCACUUAUGUUGCAUUGAUUUUUUUUUAUUUUUUUUUGUUUCGUUCUUCAUAGUUAUCUUGCACAAACUGCAAACACUUGGAAAAAAAUAUGAAUGCCAAGUUAACCUAAAUAUUAUUCUGAUUUACAUUGGUUCACAGACAUUAAUUCUUGCUAUUUAAAAUUUUGAAAUGCAGAUGACAUAAUUUAUACUGUGUAUGUAAAUGCUGAAAAAAAAUGCAUCCUUACAUACAUUUGAAAUCACUGAAUGAAAAUCAGAAUUUAAGUUCAACCCUUCUAUCAAUAAUAGAAGUCAAGGAUAGAGAGCAGAGAGCAUGUUAUAGAAAUCUUGGCUUUGCUGGAAAAUGCCAGAAUAGAUGUUUGACUGGGUAUUGUCCAGAGACAAUACAGAGAGAACUGAGCAGAGCAUGUUGCAGAGGUGAGUAUGAAUAUGCUUUGAACCUUUCCCUUCAAAGUUAGGGGAUAAAAAACUGUGUCUGCAGUUUGGUAGAGAUGAUAAAAAUUUGAGGAAAAGGAAGAAAAGGGAGGAGAGAGAGGACAGAGAAGUAGGAAAUAAGUUAAAAGAAAAGCUGUUUGAUGGAAAAACAACAGUAAAAAGUAAAAGAUUAUUUUUUAAUUAUUUUAUUAUUAUUAUUAUUAUAAAAGAAUGUCUACAUUAUUUAUGGGUCUCAUAAUGAAUUAUGGGUACAAACGUACUUAAAAAAGUAUAUAUUAUUUUAUAAGUAUACUUGAAACAUAAGCUAUUCAGAACAUUUCUUUCCUAUAUUUGCAAGGUAUUCCCCCUCUUUCUUUAGAUAUUUAUUUAUUCAUCAUUGAACCAUCCAAAACUCCACAAAUCUCUUUCUCUGCAAAUCUGCCCCUCCUUCUCCACCAUCAACCAAACUCAGUGAUAAUGAUGUUUACUGCAGUGAGAUUGGAUCGGAUUACCACUGCAGUGAUCGUGACUGUUGCAUUGCCAUACUGCCAUGGCAAUGCUCAUUAUUUUCUGUGGCUUUAAAUGGUGUGACGCAAUACCAUGACCGUUAUGAUCAAGCACUAUUGACAUGUGUUAUGUAAAUGACCUAUUGAUAUUUGUUGCAUGUAAGAAUAGUGGAUUCUUGUACUUUUAAGUAUCUGGUAAAGAGACAAGAAAACUAUUGAUUCAAUUCAAAAAGAAGAAAAAUAUAUAUUUUUAAAUUUAGGAAAAUAAAAUAUACUAUUUAACAUAUCUUUUCAAAUUAAAUAAUUAAAUGAAAGAUGGCAAAAGAAAAAUAAAAUUAGAGCACUUGGACAGAAAGUUUGGGUCUACAAAUUUAGUGAGAAAUAAAAUAUAUUUACAUUCACUCUUAAAAUAAAAUAUAAUAUAUUCAAGUAGAGUUGUUUGAAAGAUAUAUAAUGCACUUCCUAAAACAAGUAUGCAUAUUUUUAGUAUCAUUAUUAUUUUAUUUGCUAUAACUAUUAAAAAAGCAUUUGAGUUUUUAUUUUUUUUGGAAUGUAACAAUAUUACUAUUUUUACCAAAUUAAUAGUAAAAUUGUUAAAAAAUAUUAUGGUUUCAUUUUAAUUUAUGCAUAAUUUAUAAAACUGUGUCAUUUUCAGGCUUUUAAAAGGUUAACAUAGCAGUUGUUUUCUUAAAAAUAAAAUGAAUAAAUAUGAGGUCAGGCAAUUGUAAUUGAUGAGAAGAGACAACAAGGUGGAGUUUAGGGUUUGUACUUGUUCCUGAUGGUUGGUGUCAUGGAAGCAUAGAAGCGACUAAUCAAAUAUGGGUACACUCUGUAAUGAUUUUUAGAAGAAGGUUAUUUAUAAUUUUUAAAUGAAAUUUCUUGCUUCUUAUGUUACUUCUCAUGACACAAACAUUAACUCAUUGUUCCUACUCUCAUAACUUUUUUCGAAUUUUUAAUUGUAAUAUAUUUUUGAAUGGUAUAAUCUAAAAACUUUACUCACCACUCAUUACAGAGUCUUCUUGAUGAAUCGACAAAUAAAAGAACCUCAAAAUAUAAUGAUAAAAACUUGAAAUACUUAAUAGAAUACAAUGGUGGUGAAUAUAGAGGAAGAUGACAAAAAUAGUUACGCAAUGCUCUUAUAAUGAUAAAAAAUCUAAGUGAGAAUGAAAAUAAGUUAAGAACACAAAAGAGUAUCUUUACCAUUUCUCAGAAUCCAUAAAAGUACAAAUAGAAAGCAUAGAAAAGAACAAAUAGAAAGCACUAGAAUGUAAGAAGUAAAAACUUUACAUGUUCAAAUCAAUCUGUUUAAAAUAAAUGUAUGUUUUUUUUUAUCAACAAUAAAAUAAAUAAAUAAAUAGGAAUCACUUCAGGGGUGAUCCAAU